AAAAAGCUUGUCCGGAGAAGACAAGGUGAGCGCUACCAUCAGUCCUGUGUCAUGCCAACAGUAAAGCAUCCUGAGACCAUUCAUGUGUGGGGUUGCUUCUCAGCCAAGGGAGUGGGCUCACUCACAUUUUUGCUUAAGAACACAGCCAUGAAUAAAGAAUGGUACCAACAUUGUCAGAGAGCAACUUCUCCCAACCAUCCAGGAACAGUUUGGUGACGAACAAUGCCUUUUCCAGCAUGAUGGAGCACCUUGCCAUAAGGCAAAAGUAAUAACUAAGUAUCUCGGGGAACAAAGCAUUUAUAUUUUAGGUCCAUGGCCAGGAAACUCACCAGACCUUAAUCCUAUUGAGAACGUGUGGUCAAUCCUCAAGUGGAUGGUAGACAAAACAAAAACCCACAAAUUCUGACAAACUCUAAGCAUUGAUUAUGCAAGAAUGGGCUGCCAUCAGUCAGGAUGUGGCCCAGAAGUUAAUUGACAGCAUGCCAGGGUGGAUUGCAGAGGUCUUGACAAAGAAGUGUCAACACUGCAAAUAUUGACUCUUUGCAUCAACUUCAUGUAAUUGUCAAUAAAAGCCUUUGACACUUAUGAAAUUCAUGUAAUUAUAAUUCAGUAUUCCAUAGUAACAUCUGACAAAAUAUCUAAAGAUUCUGAAGCAGCAAACUGCGGAAAUUAAUAUUUGUGUCAUCCUCAACUUUUGGCCACAAAUUUAUUAUGGAUUGAUUAUUAUGCUGAUUGUGACAUGUGUAAAGAAGUUGUGUACUAUAGAUGUUGACAUCGUUUUCACCAUGCCCUGGUGAAUGGAGAGGGUGAACUCUGAUCCUGAGAGUGAAUCUGAUCCUAAUCCAUUACUGAAAUUACAUUUAAUGAUAAUCAGGAACUAUAGUAGGUUUAUGCUAAUGGAACAUAGUGUUACCUUGUAAAUAGUGGGAUCGUGAUGCUUGUCCUGGGUCAUGUUCAUUAACCACCAAAAGGAAGACAUUUUACUGAAACCGGGAAUCACUACCUGGAUUUGUCCAAUGAAAUAUGCUAAUUUCCGUUUCUACAGAUGGUGCUAUACAGAUGAAAAUGGCUAUUUCCAUCAUGCUGACCCUUACCAUUGUGCAUGGUGCCAGUGUGACGACUGUCCUAUUUGCAAAGAAACUGAGUUUCUUGAGAGGAGCUCCCUGCAGCUAGUCUGGGUGUAUGGUCACUAGAGAUAGCUUGAGCUGACAACUGAUUUCAGCCUGCAUUCCAUAGACAAGAUGUGGUGGGUGUAACCAAGAUAGAGAGCCUGGAGGAGUGGAACCAAACCCUUAUUGUGUCUAAUCAUCCUUGCAUCUGGAGGACUAAGCCAGGUUGGGGAUAACCACAGGAGAACCCAAGGUGGCUUAUGAUUUGUAGUGUCAGAUAUAAGAACCAUGAUUCCUCUGCUCACUGGGCUCUCAACGAAUCACCUACGGGUGAGUCACUGACCAGCCUCAUUACGGCAGAGCA